ACUUCCCAUUUCAGCUAGGCUGGGAGACCCAGGAAGCUCCAGACUUAGCAUGGAGCACGGACUCAGGAGCAUCCCAGCCUGGACGCUGGACAAGUUCAUAGAGGAUUACCUCCUUCCCGACACCACCUUUGGUGCUGAUGUCAAAUCAGCCGUCAAUGUCGUGUGUGAUUUCCUGAAGGAGAGAUGCUUCCAAGGUGCUGCCCACCCAGUGAGGGUCUCCAAGGUGGUGAAGGGUGGCUCCUCAGGCAAAGGCACCACACUCAAGGGCAAGUCAGACGCUGACCUGGUGGUGUUCCUUAACAAUCUCACCAGCUUUGAGGAUCAGUUAAACCGACGGGGAGAGUUCAUCAAGGAAAUUAAGAAACAGCUGUACGAGGUUCAGCAUGAGAGACGUUUUAGAGUCAAGUUUGAGGUCCAGAGUUCAUGGUGGCCCAACGCCCGGUCUCUGAGCUUCAAGCUGAGCGCCCCCCAUCUGCAUCAGGAGGUGGAGUUUGAUGUGCUGCCAGCCUUUGAUGUCCUGGGUCAUGUUAAUACUUCCAGCAAGCCUGAUCCCAGAAUCUAUGCCAUCCUCAUCGAGGAAUGUACCUCCCUGGGGAAGGAUGGCGAGUUCUCUACCUGCUUCACGGAGCUCCAGCGGAACUUCCUGAAGCAGCGCCCAACCAAGCUGAAGAGUCUCAUCCGCCUGGUCAAGCACUGGUACCAACUGGUAAGGCAUCUGGCCCAGCCACUGUGGGCUUCAUCUGUACAGAGUGUAGACACAGGCCACAGUGUAAGGAGAAGCUGGGGAAGCCAUUGCCUCCACAGUACGCCCUAGAGUUGCUCACUGUCUUUGCCUGGGAACAAGGGAAUGGAUGUUAUGAGUUCAACACAGCCCAGGGCUUCCGGACCGUCUUGGAACUGGUCAUCAAUUAUCAGCAUCUUCGAAUCUACUGGACAAAGUAUUAUGACUUUCAACACCAGGAGGUCUCCAAAUACCUGCACAGACAGCUCAGAAAAGCCAGGCCUGUGAUCCUGGACCCAGCUGACCCAACAGGGAAUGUGGCCGGUGGGAACCCAGAGGGCUGGAGGCGGUUGGCUGAAGAGGCUGAUGUGUGGCUAUGGUACCCAUGUUUUAUUAAAAAGGAUGGUUCCCGAGUGAGCUCCUGGGAUGUGCCGGAAUGCAGGCUCCUGACACGAUUGUGUUAUUUUUCAUUGCAGACGGUGGUUCCUGUACCUUUUGAGCAGGUAGAAGAGAACUGGACAUGUAUCCUGCUGUGAGCACAGCAGCACCUGCCCAGGAGACUGCUGGUCAGGGGCAUUUGCUGCUCUGCUGCAGGCCCAUGACCCAGUGAGGGAGGGCCCCACCUGGCAUCAGACUCCGUGCUUCUGAUGCCUGCCAGCCAUGUUUGACUCCUGUCCAAUCACAGCCAGCCUUCCUCAACAGAUUCAGAAGGAGAGGAAAGAACACACGCUUGGUGUCCAUCUGUCCACCUGUUGGAAGGUUCUGUCUGACAAAGUCUGAUCAACAAUAAACCACAGCAGGUGCCGUCAUGGUGUGUGAACUCUGAGGAGUGGGCCAUACAAGAACAGUGCAGGUGUGUGAGCGUGUGUGUGCCCAUGCACAUGCGUGUGUGUCUUCACGGUUCAACUAGAUGCAUUUAGUGAGCACUUACUACAUAUGCUACAUGAUUCAGAUGUUCAGCAGUGGUUAGAGCAAAGCCUAACUGCUAGGCUUUUUGAUGCAAGUUGGAUUGGGAUCCUUCCAGGUCUCUUCUUAUACAUACACACAAGAGAGGAACCCUUGGUUUCUUCUGCCCAUGACCCCAAGACAAGAUUCUAGCCCUGCCCUAUCUGACACAUUAGCGGUUCUCUGGCUACACAUGGACAUGGAACACUGAGAUUGUGGCCUGUGCUCUCAGGGUGCCCUUGAGUGGCUACAACAUGCAGGCUGGGGGACCAUAGAUAUGAUGAAAAUAAAAGGUACCUGGAAUUUUUGACACAUGUAACUUUGAAA